rnacentral:pre_miRNA from 1 species
CGCUACUAGAUCGCGACCGACCCAUGGUCCGGUCGCGACCGGAUCGCGACGCACCCGUGGUCAGGUCGCGACACGAUCACGACUUAACCACGGGUAAGUCGCGAUCCGGUUACGACUUCACCACGGGUGAGUCGCGAUCUGGUCGCGACCUAACCACGGGUCGCUCGCGAUCGUGUCGCG